rnacentral:rRNA from 1 species
GACGAACGCUGGCGGCGUGCUUAACACAUGCAAGUCGAACGGAAAGGCCCUGCUUUUGUUGGGUGCUCGAUUGGCGAACGGGUGAGUAUCACGCGUGUAACCUGUCCCUGACUUUGGGAUAACUUCAGGAAACUGGGGCUAAUACCGGAUAGGAGCUCUUGCUGCACGGUGGGGGAUGGUAAGAUUCGGCGGUUGGGGAUGGUAUCGCGGCUUAUCAGCUUGUUGGUGGGGUAGUGGCUUACAAAGGCUUUGACGGGUAGGCGGCCUGAGAGGGUGACCGGCGACAAUAGUCCUGCGAUACGGAGCAGUAUCGAACGGGACGCAACAGGCGAGAAUAUUGCAGAGUGGGGGGGAGCCAGAUACAACGACGCCGCGUGCGGGAUGCCGGCCUUCGAGUUAAAAACCAAUUUCUCAUGAGACGUAGCGUGAGUGACGGUAAUGGGUAAGAAAGCACCGGCUAACUACGUG